GAUGAACGCUGGCGGCGUGCCUAAUACAUGCGAGUCGAGCGAACGGACGAGAAGCUUGCUUUUCUGAUGUUAGCGGCGGACGGGUGAGUAACACGUGGAUAACCUACCUAUAAGACUGGGAUAACUUCGGGAAACCGGAGCUAAUACCGGAUAAUAUUUUGAACCGCAUGGUUCAAAAGUGAAAGACGGUCCUGCUGUCACUUAUAGAUGGAUCCGCGCUGCAUUAGCUAGUUGGUAAGGUAACGGCUUACCAAGGCAACGAUGCAUAGCCGACCUGAGAGGGUGAUCGGCCACACUGGAACUGAGACACGGUCCAGACUCCUACGGGAGGCAGCAGUAGGGAAUCUUCCGCAAUGGGCGAAAGCCUGACGGAGCAACGCCGCGUGAGUGAUGAAGGUCUUCGGAUCGUAAAACUCUGUUAUUAGGGAAGAACAUAUGUGUAAGUAACUGUGCACAUCUUGACGGUACCUAAUCAGAAAGCCACGGCUAACUACGUG
rnacentral:rRNA from 1 species